GCACGGGCAUCGAUCCUAUUCGCUUCGGCCGCCCGAGCGAGCCCCCACCGCCGCCCGAGCCUUUCUCGUCGACCGCCGGCGCUCCUCUGCCCGCGGGGUGCCUCCCUCGGCCGCCCGCGCUCUUCCGCCCGCGGGGCGCCUCCCUCGGCCGCCCGUGCUCCUCCUCGGAUGUAGCCCAGCCAGAUCCACCGCGGCGCCACCCCCCAUCGGCAGGUCUGAAGAGGGAUUGGACGGUGACGACGCGGACGGCUCCUUGCAACGCCGCCGCCAUGUCCUUCCUUUGACUCGUGGCUGCCUCCUCCUCCUUCGGCGUCCCUCCGAUACAAGUUUUGGUCAUCAGCUGUGAUCGCCUAUCUGGUCGGCGCCAUGUCAUUCUUUGUUGCCCUGAUGAACUUCAUCUCUGGUGCAUAUAUAUCCAGCGAACCACUGCCAUCUUUGUAUUCGGCCCCUUUGUGGUCUUGGUCUCAAAAAGUUCAAUUUGUCUGAAUUGGAGGCCGCUAGCCGCUACAAAUAACUUUUCAGAACAGAACUUGAUUGGAGAAAGUGUCUCCUGUACAGAACUUGAAUGCAGAAAACUGCAGAAUUUAAGAUGCAACGUGAGUUCCUGUGAAGGAAAACAGCAUCUUGUUCUCAACUUACUAUAUUUCACUUAAUCCUCUGCUAAGAUGGAGGAUUCUUGGAGGAAUAUGUUGAAGCGAUUGCACUGUUUUGUGUGGAGAUGUAUGAGAGAGAGAGAGAGAGUUUCAAAGCAUAUUUCAUUUGUGGAGAUAUAAAGAAGAGAGAUUGAUAUAUAUAUUUAAGCACUUCUUAUUUCUGGUUUUCCCUGCAAGUUGUCUGUAGUAUGUACUUAAUAUUUUUUGCCUCGAAA